AUACGGGGGGAGCAAGCGUUGUCCGGAAUCAUUGGGCGUAAAGGGCACGUAGGCGGUUUCUUAAGUCGAAUGUGAAAUCUCACGGCUCAACCGUGAAACUGCGUUCGAAACUAAGUGACUUGAGUUUGGGAGAGGUGUACGGAAUUCCCGGUGUAGCGGUGGAAUGCGUAGAUAUCAGGAAGAACACCAAUGGCGAAGGCAGUACACUGGCCUGAAACUGACGCUGAGGUGCGAAAGCGUGGGGAGCAAACAGGAUUAGAUACCCCGGUAGUCC
rnacentral:rRNA from 1 species